GUAACUCAGCGGGACAGGCAGCAUCUAUGGAGAGAAGGAAUGGGUGAUGUUUAGGGUCGAGACCCUUCUUUAGACUGAGAGGCAGGGGAGAGGGAGAUACAGAUUUGGAAGGGUAUGGUGUAAAAACGAGAGAACAAAGGGGACGAGGAUCAAGGAAAAUGUAGAACAGAUAAUUGUUAGCUAGGGGAAGUACUGCAGAUGCUGGUUUAAAACCGA